rnacentral:rRNA from 1 species
GAUGAACGCUGGCGGCGUGCCUAAUACAUGCAAGUCGAGCGAACGGACGAGAAGCUUGCUUCUCUGAUGUUAGCGGCGGACGGGUGAGUAACACGUGGAUAACCUACCUAUAAGACUGGGAUAACUUCGGGAAACCGGAGCUAAUACCGGAUGAUAUUUUGAACCGCAUGGUUCAAAAGUGAAAGACGGUCUUGCUGUCACUUAUAGAUGGAUCCGCGCUGCAUUAGCUAGUUGGUAAGGUAACGGCUUAUCAAGGCAACGAUGCAUAGCCGACCUGAGAGGGUGAUCGGCCACACUGGAACGGAGACACGGUCCAGACUCCUACGAGAGGCAGCAGUAGGGAAUCUGACGCAAUAGGCGGAAGCCUGACGGAGCAACGCCGCGUGAGUGAUGGAAGUCUUCGGAUCGUAAAACUCUGUUAUGAGGGAAGAACAUAUGUGUAAGUAACUGUGCACAGCUUGACGGUACCUAAUCAGAAAGCCACGGCUAACUACGUG